UGCAACAACCAAACUCUCAUUUGCCAAACCCCCCUCAAUUCAGGAUUUAAUUGCACAAAAUUUGAACCAAUUGAGGGGGACUGCAGAUGUCUAUCGUAGGAUCCCUCGCUUGAAUGCAAUGUUUGAUCCCCUCACGUUGAUCAUAAAGAGUAUAGAAACCGUCACUGAGGAGCACAAUGCCUCUCUUUUGUGGCGAGAUUCUAUGAGGGAACAAUAUGUGGAUGGCUUGAUCCUAUAAGGAGAUCAAGGAUCUCGAGAUAUCCAAAGUUGCUAUCGCCGCAUUGUUUGUGAAUCCCCGCACUGGUCAACCUGUAGACCCCCCAAAAAACAAAACUUUCUAUUAAAUUGUGCACAAAUGAUGGUAUUGUGAAAAACUUUUGGGAUUGUUGGUGAAUGGUUUUCGAUAAACCACCCAACAACAAUCUUGAUGUCCCCUUCUACUUCAUCAAAAAAUUGUAUGCUGAGUUUGUUUGAGGAAAACAUGUGAACUACUUUAACAUCCAACCUUUCUAGGGUGUGGGUUUAGGUAUGCCCUGAAAUAGACCUGGAGUAGUCAGAGUAGUUGAGGGCCCAUAUGUCCCCCCCUCCUCUUGUUGAUCCCCCACCUCCAGUGCAACAUCUAGAUAUCAUCUGUGAGGCGGGGUCACAUACCAUAUCAACUAUUCACUCUUUGAGUAGCCUUUUAGUUUCUCAGGUUGGGGCAGUAGCUUAGCCUACUUUUGAUGGUAGUGGUGCAUCUGGUGGCACUAACACGUCCUCCUCGACUCCACACAUUUGCGUGCUCCAUAGUUGUGUCAUGUGUGGGCACCUAUGCUUGGGUCCAAUUGGACAACCUAUUGAUCCUCCUGCGCACACUGCAGAUUAUGCGGUGCAUGAGAUGCAUAAUGCACCAUAUGUUAUGAUAGAGACUUGAGGAUACCCUGGAGAGUCCUCGCAUGCUAGAGGCGAGGAGGCACCUUCAUCAUACAUUGGCGAUGUAGUGGUAAGAUUUGUAUUUUCACAGUUCAUUCUAUAUUCUAAAUGAAUAUAUAUAAUCUAGAUAAUAUUAAGUACUAAUUUUCAUUUACACGAUCUAUUUAAUAGUUGAUGACAGAGGAGGAGUUGACACAGAUCCAGGAGGGCACCUUGAUGGCCAUUUCAUUUGGCCUUGAUAGCUUUACGAUACAUAUGUUAUUGCACCUAGUCGUUUGUAUUUUAUUGUACAUACAUGCUCAUCAUUUAUAUUGGUAUUAAUUAGAUUAUGUAGUAACUUGCAUGUAUAUCUUAUUUUACUCUUGUAGGGCACAAGUAGCACGAGUGUGAGGCUGUGUGAUUCGGGAUCUGGUAGUGCAGUUGGAGACAAGGGAAAAGUAAUUGAAUGCAAAUAUGAUUGAAUGAAUAGUUUAAAUAACUUAUUAUGAUUAUACACGUCUAGACAUAGAUUGAUAGUUUCACAUACUUGUUGUGUAUAUGUACAAAAAAUUCUUGGCUUCACAUCCUUGUUGACUACACUCACUAUACCUAAAGAAGAAGACGAAGAAGAGAUGCCUCAAGUACAUUUGUGUUUAUUUUAUUUUGUGUUUAGUAGAUAUAAUUCGUUAUUAUCAGUGACAAUUAUAUGCUAACUUGUAUCAAUGCCAUGUUUGUGAACAUAUGUAGGUUGUGUAUGAAAAUAUUGAAAACAUACCUCCUCUACCGAAGACAUACAUCAAGAGCAAAGCCGAAGAGAAAACGCGGAGAUGAGAGCUGAGCAAUGUAGCGAAGAGGAUCGAUUUUGAUGAUCCAUCAGUAGCUUAGGAUGUUAUAGAUAGUUUUGGGAUGCUUACAUGUCUAGUUGGCAUGCAUAUUUUGUAUAUGGACAUACAUUCACGUAUAUAGACAUACAUUUUGUUUGAGUUGA